rnacentral:rRNA from 1 species
AGGGAAUCUUCCGCAAUGGACGAAAGUCUGACGGAGCAACGCCGCGUGAGUGAUGAAGGUUUUCGGAUCGUAAAACUCUGUUGUUAGGGAAGAACAAGUACGAGAGUAACUGCUCGUACCUUGACGGUACCUAACCAGAAAGCCACGGCUAACUACGUGCCAGCAGCCGCGGUAAUACGUAGGUGGCAAGCGUUGUCCGGAAUUAUUGGGCGUAAAGCGCGCGCAGGCGGUCUCUUAAGUCUGAUGUGAAAGCCCACGGCUCAACCGUGGAGGGUCAUUGGAAACUGGGAGACUUGAGUGCAGAAGAGAAGAGUGGAAUUCCACGUGUAGCGGUGAAAUGCGUAGAGAUGUGGAGGAACACCAGUGGCGAAGGCGACUCUUUGGUCUGUAACUGACGCUGAGGCGCGAAAGCGUGGGGAGCAAAC